UAUUAGUAACAGGGGUGCCCAUAGCUGAGAAAUACUCUUAUUAGUUGAACUAGAUAAUACUAGCGUAACGAGUUUGCUAACAAUUUAA
rnacentral:ncRNA from 1 species